rnacentral:rRNA from 1 species
AUGCACGCUGGCGGCGUGCCUAAUACAUGCCAGUCGAGCGAACAGACGAGGAGCUUGCUCCUCUGACGUUAGCGGCGGACGGGUGAGUAACACGUGGAUAACCUACCUAUAAGACUGGGAUAACUUCGGGAAACCGGAGCUAAUACCGGAUAAUAUAUUGAACCGCAUGGUUCAAUAGUGAAGGACGGUUUUGCUGUCACUUAUAGAUGGAUCCGCGCCGCAUUAGCUAGUUGGUAAGGUAACGGCUUACCAAGGCAACGAUGCGUAGCCGACCUGAGAGGGUGAUCGGCCACACUGGAACUGAGACACGGUCCAGACUCCUACGGGAGGCAGCAGUAGGGAAUCUUCCGCAAUGGGCGAAAGCCUGACGGAGCAACGCCGCGUGAGUGAUGAAGGUCUUCGGAUCGUAAAACUCUGUUAUUAGGGAAGAACAAAUGUGUAAGUAACUAUGCACGUCUUGACGGUACCUAAUCAGAAAGCCACGGCUAACUACGUG